GGAGGUCGACGAGUAUUUCUGAGUAAAUGAUGCUAAGCUUUCUUUCAUAACUGUGGAUGACAUGCCAGCAGCCCGCCCAUCGCCUGACCCCGGAGUUUGGAGGGAGUACGACAACAAGGCUUUCUACUGCGAUCAAGUGCAAGAGAAUUUGAAACGUUCGGUUGGCACAGUUCUAGAGAAAUUUGUGCUUCACGAUGUACGAGUGCAAUGAGAAAUACCCAGUUGUUCCCCAGGUGUUUUGCCGGCGGGAAGCUGCUGAAGAAACAUUGAAACGAUCAAAAGAAACGAUCACUGAAACAUCAAAAACGAUCAUUGAAACGAUCAAAAGCACCAGAAUACAUUUGUCCGAAAAAACAUCGGAUGUCACGUUUAUCGUUUCCUUCAGCU